rnacentral:rRNA from 1 species
UACGUAGGGGGCUAGCGUUGUCCGGAAUCAUUGGGCGUAAAGCGCGUGUAGGCGGUUCGGUAAGUCCGCUGUGAAAGUCGGGGGCUCAACCCUCGGAUGCCGGUGGAUACUGUCGAGCUUGAGUACGGAAGAGGCGAGUGGAAUUCCUGGUGUAGCGGUGAAAUGCGUAGAUAUCGGGAGGAACACCUGUGGCGAAAGCGGCGCACUGGACCAUAACUGACGCUGAGGCGCGAAAGCUAGGGGAGCAAACAGG